rnacentral:rRNA from 1 species
GUCAGAGUUUGAUCCUGGCUCAGAUUGAACGCUGGCGGCAGGCCUAACACAUGCAAGUCGAGCGCGAAAGGCCUUCGGGUUGAGUAGAGCGGCGGACGGGUGAGUAACGCGUAGGAAUCUACCUGGUAGUGGGGGACAACAUGGUGAAAACCAUGCUAAUACCGCAUACGCCCUAUGGGGGAAAGCGGGGGACCUUCGGGCCUCGCGCUAUCAGAUGAGCCUGCGUAGGAUUAGCUUGUUGGUGAGGUAAAGGCUCACCAAGGCGACGAUCCUUAGCUGGUCUGAGAGGAUGAUCAGCCACACUGGAACUGAGACACGGUCCAGACUCGUACGGAGCAGCAGUGGGGAAUAUGCGCAAU